GCGGCUAACUACGUGCCAGCAGCCGCGGUAAUACGUAGGCAGCAAGCGUUGUUCGGAGUUACUGGGCGUAAAGGGUGUGUAGGCGGCUCUCUAAGUUUGGUGUGAAAUCUCCCGGCUCAACCGGGAGGGUGCGCCGAAUACUGAAGGGCUAGAGUACGGGAGAGGAAAGUGGAAUUCCUGGUGUAGCGGUGAAAUGCGUAGAUAUCAGGAGGAACACCGGUGGUGUAGACGGCUUUCUGGACCGUAACUGACGCUGAGACACGAAAGCGUGGGUAGCAAACAGGAUUAGAUACCCUGGUAGUCCACGCCCUAAACGAUGCAUAUUUGGUGUGGGUCAUUCAGUUGAUCCGUGCCGGAGCUAACGCGUUAAAUAUGCCGCCUGGGGAGUACAGUCGCAAGGCUGAAACUCAAAGGAAUUGACGGGGGCCCGCACAAGCGGUGGAGCAUGUGGUUCAAUUCGACGCAACGCGAAGAACCUUACCUGGGCUCGAACGGCUUCUCAACGCCGGUGGAAACACCGGUAUCCCGCAAGGGAGUGGAGUCGAGGUGCUGCA
rnacentral:rRNA from 1 species